rnacentral:rRNA from 1 species
GACGAACGCUGGCGGCGUGCUUAACACAUGCAAGUCACGGGGGGCUCGCAAGAGCUAACCGGCGAACGGGUGCGUAACACGUGAACAACCUGCCCUCGUGUGGGGGAUAGCCAUGCUAACGCGUGGGUAAUACCGCAUACGUUUCUCUGGGGGAGUCCCUGGGGAAGGAAAGCUCCGGCGCACGGGGGAGGGGUUCGCGGCCUAUCAGCUAGUUGGUGCGGUAACGGCGCACCAAGGCGACGACGGGAGCUGGUCUGAGAGGAUGGCCAGCCACAUUGGGACUGAGAGACGGCCCAGACUCCUACGGGAGGCAGCAGUGGGGAAUCUUGCGCAAUGGUCUAACGACUGACGCAGCGACGCCGCGUGUGGGAGGACGCC